rnacentral:rRNA from 1 species
UCCUGGCUCAGGAUGAACGCUAGCGGCAGGCCUAAUACAUGCAAGUCGAACGGGAUGGGCCCCUCGGGGGCCCUGAGAGUGGCGCACGGGUGCGCAACGCGUAUGCAACCAACCCCCGACAGGCGGAUAGCCGGUGGAAACGCCGGAUAAUACGCCAUGGUUCCGUGGGAGGGCAUCCUCCUGAGGAUAAAGCCGAGAGGCGGUCGGGGACGGGCAUGCGUCCCAUUAGAUGGUAGGCGGGGUGACGGCCCACCUAGUCCGCGAUGGUAGGGGAUCUGAGAGGACGGUCCCCCACACUGGUACUGAGACACGGACCAGACUCCUGCGGGAGGCAGCAGUAAGGGAUAUUGGUCAAUGGGGGCAACCCUGAACCAGCCAUGCCCGCGUGAGGGAAUGAGGCCCUACGGGUCGUGAACCUCUUUUAUUCGGGGACAAGGACGCGGUCGCGAACCGUGUUUGAGGGUACCGAAGGAAUAAGCAUCGGCUAACUCCGUGCCAGCAGCGGC